GAUUCGUCACACUAUCAUUAACUGAAUCCAUAGGUUAAUGAGGCGAACCGGGGGAACUGAAACAUCUAAGUACCCCGAGGAAAAGAAAUCAACCGAGAUUCCCCCAGUAGCGGCGAGCGAACGGGGAGGAGCCCAGAGCCUGAAUCAGCAUGUGUGUUAGUGGAAGCGUCUGGAAAGGCGCGCGAUACAGGGUGACAGCCCCGUACACAAAAGCGCAUGUGCUGUGAGCUCGAUGAGUAGGGCGGGACACGUGGUAUCCUGUCUGAAUAUGGGGGGACCAUCCUCCAAGGCUAAAUACUCCUGACUGACCGAUAGUGAACCAGUACCGUGAGGGAAAGGCGAAAAGAACCCCGGCGAGGGGAGUGAAAAAGAACCUGAAACCGUGUACGUACAAGCAGUGGGAGCCCCACCACCAAAGCAUUCUCUGGUGUUGAAGGCCCUGCAAAGCAGCAUCGCGGUGGCGGAGCGUCGUUUGCGACGCCCAACACACAAAACAAGCGGUGAGUGCUUUGGGGUGGGGUGACUGCGUACCUUUUGUAUAAUGGGUCAGCGACUUAUAUUCUGUAGCAAGGUUAACCGAAUAGGGGAGCCGGAGGGAAACCGAGUCUUAAUUGGGCGUUAAGUUGCAGGGUAUAGACCCGAAACCCGGUGAUCUAGCCAUGGGCAGGUUGAAGGUUGGGUAACACUAACUGGAGGACCGAACCGACUAAUGUUGAAAAAUUAGCGGAUGACCUGUGGCUGGGGGUGAAAGGCCAAUCAAACCGGGAGAUAGCUGGUUCUCCCCGAAAGCUAUUUAGGUAGCGCCUCGUGAAUUCAUCUCCGGGGGUAGAGCACUGUUUCGGCUAGGGGGCCAUCCCGGCUUACCAACCCGAUGCAAACUGCGAAUACCGGAGAAUGUUAUCACGGGAGACACACGGCGGGUGCUAACGUCCGUCGUGAAGAGGGAAACAACCCAGACCGCCAGCUAAGGUCCCAAAGUCAUGGUUAAGUGGGAAACGAUGUGGGAAGGCCCAGACAGCCAGGAUGUUGGCUUAGAAGCAGCCAUCAUUUAAAGAAAGCGUAAUAGCUCACUGGUCGAGUCGGCCUGCGCGGAAGAUGUAACGGGGCUAAACCAUGCACCGAAGCUGCGGCAGCGAACGUAUCACUUAAAGCGAUUCAGCGGGUUACGAUUGACGGAGCGAAGCGACGUCAAAGCGUAUACAAAGUCGAGUCGGUUUAAGGAUACGUUCGUUGGGUAGGGGAGCGUUCUGUAAGCCUGCGAAGGUGGCCUGUGAGGGUUGCUGGAGGUAUCAGAAGUGCGAAUGCUGACAUAAGUAACGAUAAAGCGGGUGAAAAGCCCGCUCGCCGGAAGACCAAGGGUUCCUGUCCAACGUUAAUCGGGGCAGGGUGAGUCGACCCCUAAGGCGAGGCCGAAAGGC
rnacentral:rRNA from 1 species